AUUGAACGCUGGCGGCAGGCCUAACACAUGCAAGUCGAACGGUAGCACAGAGAGCUUGCUCUCGGGUGAUGAGUGGCGGACGGGUGAGUAAUGUCUGGGAAACUGCCCGAUGGAGGGGGAUAACUACUGGAAACGGUAGCUAAUACCGCAUAACGUCGCAAGACCAAAGUGGGGGACCUUCGGGCCUCACACCAUCGGAUGUGCCCAGAUGGGAUUAGCUAGUAGGUGGGGUAAUGGCUCACCUAGGCGACGAUCCCUAGCUGGUCUGAGAGGAUGACCAGCCACACUGGAACUGAGACACGGUCCAGACUCCUACGGGAGGCAGCAGUGGGGAAUAUUGCACAAUGGGCGCAAGCCUGAUGCAGCCAUGCCGCGUGUAUGAAGAAGGUCUUCGGGUUGUAAAGUACUUUCAGCGGGGAGGAAGGCGGUGGAGUUAAUAACUUCACCGAUUGACGUUACCCGCAGAAGAAGCACCGGCUAACUCCGUGCCAGCAGCCGCCGUAA
rnacentral:rRNA from 1 species